ensembl:lncRNA
AGAAAAUAUAAUCACAUUUGUGAUCAUGCGACGAACAACUGUAUAAGUCCAAAAAAAACAAAAAAAUUAGAUAACCAUGUGACUUCAAUGUAUGUGUGCCACUUUGUAUACAGAAUCACUUUGGGGGGUGUUCGCGCGACCAAAACUCUAACAUUUUAAAAUAGUCUCACGCGGAAAAACCGUUUAUGUCCACUAACAAAAAAUGGAGACGCCGGUUGCUUUCAUGUCCGCUGCGGACAUUAAUAGACAAAACGUCGGCAAAAAAAGGAGAGCGAACAUAAAUGAAUGGAAGGACAGAGCAAGGAAGUCUUUGAGGGAUGCUGGGAAACCAUAUGUGAACCGGAGAGGAGAGCAAAAACGAGGAAAAAGUCCACCAAAAGCGGUUCAAGUCAUGAAUGGGUCGAUAUGAAAGCUGAGAAAAUUAGGAUUCAGGGGACGUUUUAAACAUGUCUCUACUCCUUAUAACAAC